UACGAAGGGGGCUAGCGUUGCUCGGAAUCACUGGGCGUAAAGCGCACGUAGGCGGAUUGUUAAGUCAGGGGUGAAAUCCUGGAGCUCAACUCCAGAACUGCCUUUGAUACUGGCGAUCUUGAGUCCGGGAGAGGUGAGUGGAACUGCGAGUGUAGAGGUGAAAUUCGUAGAUAUUCGCAAGAACACCAGUGGCGAAGGCGGACUCACUGGCCCGGUACUGACGCUGACGGUGCGAAAGCGUGGG
rnacentral:rRNA from 1 species